AGAAUCAACGCUGGCGGCGUGCCUAACACAUGCAAGUCGCACGAGAAAGCGGGAGCAAUCCUGCAAGUAAAGUGGCGUACGGGUGAGUAACACGUGAAUCAUCUACCUUCGAGUGUGGAAUAACUGAGAGAAAUCUUAGCUAAUACCGCAUAAUACUUACGAGUCAAAGCAGCAAUGCGCUUGAAGAGGAGUUCGCGGCAGAUUAGUUAGUUGGCGGGGUAAUGGCCCACCAAGACGAUGAUCUGUA
rnacentral:rRNA from 1 species